UUCUCAUUUCUGCACUCCAAGGAUCAAGGGCAGGACUAGGCCCAGAGAAAGUGGUCAAUAGUGUUGAAGAAACAAAUUGACUUUAAAGAUGAGUGAGGUGAUUUGCAUAUUGCUGGCUUUCCUUGUCCUGACUAGUAAUUGUAGGCUUUCUGAAAUCCUAAUUCUUUGUAAAAUGUAUGGCAUCUAAUUUGCUUCUCUUUCCUUCACAGAAACAUGAUGCUACUGAAUAAUACUUCAAUUCCAGGAGCAUGAACUGAAAACCUCCUAGGAAUCAGGCAGUCCUACAUAGUCCCUGACUUUAAGAACACAGACAGAAAUUUUCACUCGGUCGACCAUAGAUACUCUGCGGGCACCAGAUCCUGCGGUGACCUGGCCAACGUUUGAUACGACACUUGGGCUUCCUUCCAAGGACUGAUGCAGAACUGGAGCAGGGUGCUAAGCAUGGGGGUUGCUCCAAAUUCAGAAAAACAAACAAACAAACAAAACCAGGGGGCUGAAGAGGAUUCAAACCAAAACUAUUUUAAGUGUAAGAAUCUGGGCAGAUAAUAAAAACAU